rnacentral:rRNA from 1 species
GCAGCGGCGGACGGGUGAGUAACGCGUGGGAAUCUGCCCAGUAGUGGGGGACAACAGCCGGAAACGGCUGCUAAUACCGCAUACGCCCUACGGGGGAAAGGGGGGGAUCUUCGGACCUCUCGCUAUUGGAUGAGCCCGCGUCGGAUUAGCUAGUUGGUAGGGUAAAGGCCUACCAAGGCUACGAUCCGUAACUGGUCUGAGAGGAUGAUCAGUCACACUGGAACUGAGACACGGUCCAGACUCCUACGGGAGGCAGCAGUGGGGAAUAUUGGACAAUGGGGGAAACCCUGAUCCAGCCAUGCCGCGUGUGUGAAGAAGGCCUUAGGGUUGUAAAGCACUUUCAGUGGGGAGAAAGGUUUGUCACCUAAUACGUGAUGAAAUUGAUGUUACCCACAGAAGAAGCACCGGCUAACUCCGUGCCAGCAGCCGCGGUAAUACGGAGGGUGCAAGCGUUAAUCGGAAUUACUGGGCGUAAAGCGCACGUA